CCUGGAAACAAAGAAAGGGUCCCAUUGCAUUGCAGGUUGCUGGCCAGAUCCCGCAAUACAGUACUGCUUUAGAAACAAAGUAACAGAACAAAAAUGAAAGGGAAUAGAGUUCUCCACUUCUGUAUAGUGGGUGGUGGGCAGGGGAACACUGAGAUCUGUAGAGAAGAGAGGCUCCUUCAUUGCAUGUAUAGCGGGGUGUCAGUGCCCCACAGAAAGCAAUGGUCUCCAGAUGGAAGCUGAUGGACAGAUGCUGGAAGCAUUGGCAGAGCAUCUUCAUGCAGGAAGCAAAGAACUUUUGUGGACACAAAAAAGAUAAGGGGUUUCACCUUAUUGCCCAAGCUGGUCUUGAAGUUCUGGGCUCAAGCGAUCUGCCUGCAUUAGCCUCCUAAAGUUCUGGAAUUACCAACAUGAGCUACCAUGCCUGGGUCAAAGCCGUUCUCUGAGCUGAAGAAAAACUACAAAAGAUAGAAACUCAGAUGUGCAGGAAAGAAUAUAGACACCAAAAAAGGAGUGCAAUUUUGACCAAUUACUUUUUACUGGAAGAACUUCAAGAAUAGCUAUGAAGCAUAUGAAGAGGUCUUAUUCCGAGUGAUCCUGAUGCUAGUCAAGGAAGGGAAUGACUGGUUAGAAUCAAUGCCCACACCUGAGAAUUGUGCUUGAGCUAGAUUCUCCUGAAGACACAGGGCUUCACAGGAAGGAGAGAUAAUUAUUGGAUGGAAAACAGAACUGAGAAGAGAAAUCACUUGUGUCCCAGCACCAUUUGUUGAAAAGGAUAUUCUUUCCCUGUUGAAAUAAUGUCUUGGCACCCAAACUGAAAAUGAAUUCACCUCAGAUGGCCGAAUAGGAACAGCUCUGGUUUGCAGCUCCCAGAGUGACUGAUGCACAAGAUGGGUGAUUUCUGCAUUUCCAACUGAGGUACCUGGGACUGGUUGGACAGUGGGUGCAGCCCACGGAGGGCGAUCCAAAACAGGGUGGGGCAUUGCCUCACCCAGGGAGUGCAAGGGGUCGGUGGAUUUUCCUUUCCUAACCAAGGGAAGCCGUGACAGACUGUACCUGGAAAAUUGGGACACUCUUGCCCAAAUA
rnacentral:lncRNA from 1 species